UCGCUCGCGAGAGCAAGCGGACCUCAUAAAGUGCGUCGUAGUCCGGAUUGGAGUCUGCAACUCGACUCCAUGAAGUCGGAAUCGCUAGUAAUCGUGGAUCAGAAUGCCACGGUGAAUACGUUCCCGGGCCUUGUACACACCGCCCGUCACACCAUGGGAGUGGGUUGCAAAAGAAGUAGGUAGCUUAACCUUCGGGAGGGCGCUUACCACUUUGUGAUUCAUGACUGGGGUGAAGUCGUAACAAGGUAACCGUAGGGGAACCUGCGGUUGGAUCACCUCCUUA
rnacentral:rRNA from 1 species